GAGGGAAUAGCUCAAGUGGUAAAGUGCAUGCCUAGCAUGCAUGAGGUCCUGGGUUCAAUCCCCAGUGCCUCCA
rnacentral:tRNA from 1 species